UACGGAGGAUGCAAGCGUUAUCCGGAUUUAUUGGGUUUAAAGGGUGCGUAGGCGGGACUGUAAGUCAGGGGUGAAAUACUGCAGCUUAACUGUAGCAUUGCCUUUGAAACUGCCGUUCUUGAGUACAGUUGAGGUAGGCGGAAUGUGGUGUGUAGCGGUGAAAUGCAUAGAUAUACCACAGAACGCCGAUUGCGAAGGCAGCUUACUAAGCUGUUACUGACGCUGAGGCACGAAAGCGUGGGGAUCAAACAGGAUUAGA
rnacentral:rRNA from 1 species